UACGGGGGGGGGCAAAUGUUGUUCGGAAUCACUGGGCGUAAAGGGAGCGUAGGCGGGUUCUUAAGUAAGGUGUUUAAUCCCGGGGCCCAACCCCGGACCGGCACUUUAAACUGGGAAUCUUGAAUAGUGGAGAGGUCGGUGGAAUUGGGGGUGUAGCGGUGGAAUGCGUAGAGAUCCCCAAGAACACCAGUUGCGAAGGCGGCCGACUGGACACAUAUUGACGCUGAGGCUCGAAAGCAUGGGGAGCAAACAGG
rnacentral:rRNA from 1 species